UGGGGUGUAGCCAAGCGGUAAGGCACAUGGUUUUGAUCCAUGCAUGCGUUGGUUCGAAUCCAGCCACCCCAGCCA
rnacentral:tRNA from 1 species